rnacentral:lncRNA from 1 species
GCAUACAAAUAUACACUGCAAAUUUUUAUUAUUAUUUGCAUAAAAAAAACAUACAAGGAAUAAGCCUAAUGUUAGGAAUGGUUCGUUUUAGGACUCUUAAACCUAACAAGUUCACAAGAAAAUAAAGCAAGUUUACAAGAUUAUAGUUUCAUGGUAGUUAUCUGUCUCUCAAACAAAAAAAAUCUGUCUCUCCUCCAAGCUAGCAAGUACCCAGCCAAGUGAUAACAUUCUUGCUGCAGCAGCAUAUCCACAUAUCCUCUGUGCAAUUUGCUUGUCACUGCAUCUUUCAAAUUAAUCUUUGGCACCAUCUGAUAAUGAAAGCCAUGGUUGAAUUUCAAAGUCAACUGCACCUUCCUAUAUGACAUCAAAUAUACUCUCUCAGUCUAUGCACAAGUAUAUAUAAAGUUAGGGGUGAUGAGAGCACAGUCAAAAAGAAUAUAAUGAAUGAAUUGAAUUUACUAGCCCAAAAUGGAGGUACACUACAGUAAGUAUCCAUCUCUAAUUCUUCUUUACCCGAAGUCUUUUAUGCAUAGCACUAGCAUCCCUCAUAUACCUUAUAGAUGAUAACAUCAACUUUAUAAAUUGAAACAAACAUAAAAAUGAUCGGCAGCAAAAAAACAAGCAUUUCACACAAGCAAAUAGAAACAACAUAUAAAGCAAACAUAGAGGCUCCCCAAUUUUUCCCCUACCUUUGUUAACUUUCACAUGAAGUAUGAAGCUCCUAAUAAAAAGAUAUAACCAUUAGUUUAACCAAUAGUAUGCAAUGUCUGUUUCAUUUAUAACUCAAUUUAACACUAAGCUCAGAUGCUAAACAGAAGAUACAAUAGUAAGCCAAAACAGUUUCACACAAUAACACAACAACACAAUUUAGCUUUUUGAACCAGUCGCCUUAACUUCAAAAACUGUACAAAUCCUUAAGGAAUUUGAUUUCGAUUUCUUCUAAUGACUUAUAGCAGAUACACAAAAGAAACUCAUAGACUUGGAAUCAACUUAAAAUGAUUUUUCUUGAAUUAGUUAUGGAUUUUCAAAGUUCAGCUUCAGUUUCAGGUUUUUCUGAAAAUUUCCUGCUAUGUGCCUAAACUUAGAAUUUAAAAGCAAAUAAGAAACUCUAUGUGAUACUAAACUUCUAGCAACUGAACAUAACCACUCCAAUGUUUCAAAAAGGAAACACACAAAACUUGCAACAUAAGUAGCUAAAUUAGAUUACCACAACGACAGCUAACAUAAGAUAACAAGUAAAUAUAGUUCUACACUUCUAAUGUUCAUCCAACUUUAAGCAUACCAAAACCUUGAUCUCUAACUUCAAUUUGAGAAACAAAUUACAUGUAUAAGAACCUUAUAGUCUAAUCUAUAUAUCUAUAUAAUAACAUAAAAGAGUAAGAAUCAUAGGCAAACACUGAGACUAAAAAGCAAAGGUACAAAAUCAGAAAAGUGCCUAACUGAAAUUCUGACCAGAAAAGCCUUUGGUUAAAAACGAUAUGGUUCAACUAGGAAUUAAAGCUUGGUGUCUUCAUGGCAUUUGAAAUAGACAUCCUAAAUAUCAAUCUGGAACUGGAAUCGUACAAAAAAGAUUUUCCUACAAUUACUUAUGAUUUUUCAAAGUUGAACACCUGCAUCACGAAAAUCACUGAUUUUGACUCAGAUUAAGUUUCCCCUUUUAAAGAUGAUUCCCAAUAGGUAACAACUAACAACAAAGAAAUACCCAAUCCUAAUGCUUUACUUCCUACCAAGAUGAUCCUCCAUAACAAGAAGCAUAAAUACUGAAGUAAAACACCAACAUUGAAAGCAGAAAGUCAUAAAGAAUCAUCUAUAUAUACUAUUACAAUAUACAUAAUAAACACAACAUAUACGUUGACAAACACAACAACUCUAUAGAAACUCAUCUUUUCUGUAAGAAUUGACUAAGUGACUAACAUGGUUCACAAAGGAAUAACCAAUUGAUCAAGAACAUAAAAGAUGCAGACCUGAAUUGUUCUUCAUAUAUUCCUAUUCUCUCUCUNNNNNNNNNNNNNNNNNNNNAGUGUAGCCGCCCGGUAAAUGUUUCGAGGGUGCACAAGGUUGACUACUUUUCACGCGUCACCCUUAGUAAGGUCAUCAAGAUAAAACACUUGUUUUACCGAUGUGACAAAAACGAACGGGUCAUUUUCGUAACAACUUGUAGCAGUGUUCACCGAUAAUAUUUUGUACUGAUCGGUCUUCAUGCUCUGCGGCCUAGUAUCAAACCAUCUACACUUGAAGAGGUGCACUGUCAUGCCUUGCCCAUAAACGAGUUCCACCACUGAAUGGAGAACACCGUAAUAGUCAACUCCAUUCCGCCCAUCAUGCGCCAUGACCCCAGAAUUUUGUGUUCUCCGUCUGCUGUCUCUCUGUUCACAUAUAAAUUGCACGCCAUUCAUCUUGCACAUCGGAUAAACUCUUGACAUUAUCGGCUUCAUCGCUAGAAGUCUUAGUUCGUGCGACCAAUUUGGGUGACCAUCAAAUUGAAUAUGGUUCAUCUGCAACCACCCAUUCAACUGUAAAUAUGGAUAAUUAUGCAAUAAACAUAAACACGUACAGAAAUAUUAAAUUACGUAUCCAGCCGCCAAAAUAAUCUGCGAACUCUCUGUUGUGGUACUCGAGAUGACCUUGAAUGUCUGGACAAUAUAGAUGGAUGUCUUUCCAGUAUUCAACUUCUCGAUAGUUAACACUAUAAAAAACAAGUAGAUUGGCCACGGCGCAAAACCGUCACCAAUAGCCUUUUUGCCGUGGCAAAACAGUAUUCGCGACGGCGCUGCGACGGCAAAACGUCCGUCACAAAUAGUGGCAUCGCCAAUGGUAUUUGCGACGGCAAUUACGCCGUCGCAAGAGAAUUAGCGACGGCAAACCUUUGUCGUCGCAAGAAGAUACGACGGUGUAAUUGCCGUCGCCAAUACCAUUAGUGACGCCACCAUUUGCGACCACAGCUUUUGCGACGGUAGCAAUGCCGUGGCAAAAGAGUUAUUUAUGAAUAAAAAAAAAUUGGCAUACAAAUAUACACUGCAAAUUUUUAUUAUUAUUUGCAUAAAAAAACAUACAAGGAAUAAGUCUAAUGUUAGGAAUGAUUCGUUUUAGGAAUCUUAAACCUAACAAGUUCACAAGAAAAUAAAGCUAAGUUUACAAGAUUAUAGUUUCAUGGUAGUGUUUACAAGAUUAUAGUUUCAUGGUAGUUAUCUGUCUCUCAAAAAAAAAUGUGUCUCUCCUCCAAGCUAGCAAGUACCCAGCCAAGUGAUAACAUUCUUGCUGCAGCAGCAUAUCCACAUAUCCUCUGUGCAAUUUGCUUGUGACUGCAUAUUUCAAAUUAAUCUUUGACACCAUCUGAUAAUGAAAGCCAUGGUUGAAUUUCAAAGUCAACUGCACCUUCCUAUAUGACAUCAAAUAUACUCUUUCAGUCUAUGCACAAGUAUAUAUAAAGUUAGGGGUGAUGAGAGCACAGUCAUAAAGAAUAUAAUGAAUGAAUUGAAUUUACCAGCCCAAAAUGGAGGUACACUACAGUAAGUAUCUAUCUCUAAUUCUUCUUUACCCAAACUGUUUUAUGCAUAGCACUAGCAUCCCUCAUAUACCUUAUACAUCAACUUUAUAAAUCGAAACAAACAUAAAAAUGAUCGGCAGCAAAGAAACAAGCAUUUCACACAAGCAAAUAGAAACAACAUAUAAAGCAAACAUAGAGGCUCCCUAAUUUUUCCCCUACCUUUGUUAACUUUCACAUGAAGUAUGAAGCUCCUAAUAAAAAGAUAUAACCAUUAGUUUAAGCAAUAAUAUGCAAUGUCUGUUUCAUUUAUAACUCAAUUUAAGACUAAGCUUAGAUGCUAAACAGAAGAUACAAUAGUAAGCCAAAACAGUUUCACACAAUAACACAACAACACAAUUUAGCUUUCUGAACCAGUCGCCUUAACUUCAAAAACUGUACAAAUCCGUAAGGAAUUUGAUUUCGAUUUCUUCUAAUGACUUAUAGCAGAUACACAAAAGAAACUCUUAGACUUGGAAUCAACUUAAAAACGAUUUUUCUUGAAUUAGUUAUGGAUUUUCAAAGUUCAGCUUCAGUUUCAGGUUUUUCUGAAAAUUUCCUGCUAUGUGCCUAAACUUAGAAUUUAAAAGCAAAUAAGAAACUCUAUGUGAUACUAAACUUCUAGCAACUGAACAUAACCACUCCAAUGUUUCAAAAAGGAAACACACAAAACUUGCAACAUAAGUAGCUAAAUUAGAUUACCACAACGACAGCUAACAGAAAGAUAACAAGUAAAUAUAGUUCUACACUUCUAAUGUUCAUCCAACUUUAAGCAUACCAAAACCUUGAUCUCUAACUUCAAUUUGAGAAACAAAUUACAUUUAUAAGAACCUUAUAGUCUAAUCUAUAUAUCUAUAUAACAUAAAAGAGUAAGAAUCAUAGGCAAACACUGAGACUAAAAGCAAAGGUACAAAAUCAGAAAAGUGCCUAACUGAAAUUCUGACCAGAAAAGUCUUUGGUUAAAAACGAUAUGGUUCAACUAGGAAUUAAAGCUUGGUGUCUUCAUGGCAUUUGAAAUAGACAUCCCAAAUAUCAAUCUGGAACUGGAAUCGUACAAAAAAGAUUUUUCUACAAUUACUUAUGAUUUUUCGAAGUUGAACACCUGCAUCAGGAAAAUCACUGAUUUUGACUCAAAUUAAGUUUCCCCUUUUAAAGAUGAUUCCCAAUAGGUAACAACUAACAACAAAGAAAUACCCAAUCCUAAUGCUUUACUUCCUACCAAGAUGAUCCUCCAUAACAAGAAGCAUGAAUACUGAAGUUAAAACACCAACAUUGAAAGCAGAAAGUCAUAAAGAAUCAUCUAUAUAUAUUAUUACAAUAUACAUAAUAAACACAACAUAUACGUUGACAAACACAACAACUCUAUAGAAACUCUUCUUUUCUGUAAGAAUUGACUAAGUGACUAAUUAACAUGGUUCACAAAGGAAUAACCAAUUGAUCAAGAACAUAAAAGAUGCAGACCUGAAUUGUUCUUCAUAUAUUCCUCUCUCUCUCUCUCUCUCUCUCUCUCUCUACNNNNNNNNNNNNNNNNNNNNAAUAAAAAAGUAACUGAUACAUGGGGACCAAAUGGUAGUCAGCCUUCAAAGACUAUAUCAAGAUGAAAUACGGAAAAUAAGAAAAGACAUUUGUUGAUUUUUCACGGUGAAAUGGUGUUCUUGGUCAACUACAGCAAUAUCAAUUACACAGGUAGUAAUAUUAAUCCAUGGCAUGUGUGAUGAAGAUAAAUAGCUCACUUCAAUAUUUUCUAUAACAGAAUUUCAAGAAGUUGCCAUCUAGUAUAAAUGCAAACAUGAUCAAAAAGUAUGAUUUGAUCUCUAGUAUACAUUUCGUAGAAAUAAUAUAGUCCAUACUCAAUAUGUAAAACGUGUUUACUGUAGCUGAACCUUUUGUAGAGAAAAAGAAGUAGGAACAAUGGCUGCAAAGCCAAAAGAUAUUAUUUAGAAAAAACCAUUGCCAAGACUUAUCAUAUAUAGCGAUCAUCAUAGGAAAGUUGAACACCAUACCUUCACUUAAUAAAUACCUAAGCAAUCCACAUUCUUUACUCUGUUUUCAUCACCCAAACAGUCUACGCAGAACAAAUUGAACACUAAAAUGAAAUACCCAAAUAGUAAAACGAAAUUCAUAAACACAGUAAAACGAAUCUCACAAUUUGACAUACCACUACCAGAAGAAAGACUUUAGCCGACGAAAAUAAAAAACCAGGCCGACGAAUUAUUUUUUCGUCGGCUAAAUUUCCCUUCGUCGGCUAAUUAAAAAUUUUCGUCGGCUAUGGUCAACUUUAGCCGACGAAAUUUUAAUUUCGUCGUCUGAAUAAUUUUUUUCGUCGACUAUAGUCUGUGAACUUUAGCCGACGAAAUUUUUUAAAAGUUUAGCCGACGAAAUUAUAUUUUUCGUCGGCUAAAGUAUUUAAAUAUCUGCAAAUCUGGACAACAACUCAUCUGGGAAAAAAAAACUAUACGUAGAAC